rnacentral:rRNA from 1 species
GACGAACGCUGGCGGCGUGCUUAACACAUGCAAGUCGAACGGAAAGGCCCUGCUUUUGUGGGGUGCUCGAGUGGCGAACGGGUGAGUAGCCCGUGAGUAACCUGCCCUUGACUUUGGGAUAACUUCAGGAAACUGGGGCUAAUACCGGCUAGGAGCUCCUGCUGCAUGGGGGGGGUUGGAAAGUUUCGGCGGUUGGGGAUGGACUCGGGGCUUAUCAGCUGGUUGGUGGGGUAGUGGCUUACCAAGGCUUUGACGGGUGGCCGGCCUGAGAGGGUGACCGGCCACAUGGGGACUGAGAUACGGACCAGACUCCUACGGGAGGCAGCAGUGGGAAAUAUUGCACAAUGGGCGGAAGCCUGAUGCAGCAGCGCCGCGUGCGGGAUGACGGCCUUCGGGUUGUAAACCGCUUUCGCCUGUGACGAAGCGUGAGUGACGGUAAUGGGUAAAGAAGCACCGGCUAACUACGUG